UAAAUAGUAAUAAAAUUAGGUAGUAAAAGGGGGCUUGAAACUUAAAAGAUUUGGCGGCAUUUUAAGCUAAUUAGAGGAAUCUGUUUUAUUAAAUCGACAAUACCCGUAAAAUCUUACUUUAAUUUUCAACUUGUAUAUCGUCGUUAUAAUAAUGUUUAUUAAUGAUUAUUUGGGGUAAUUUUAUUUUUAAUGUCAGAUCAAGGUUCAGUUCAUGUUAAAGAAAAGAAUGGAUUACAAUAUAUUAAUAUUUUAUGGAUUUUAUCUUGAAAAGGUGAAUGAAAAUGGAUUUAAAAGUAUUAAAGAAGAAAUGUGUUUUUUUGAAUAAGCUCUAGAGUGUGC
rnacentral:rRNA from 1 species